rnacentral:lncRNA from 1 species
GAGGGUUUGGGGUAGAUGGGAGGUGGGAUGGGAAUGGAAUAAAAGUUUUAGGGGAAAAGUGGGAGGAAGUAAAAAUUGUGGGGGAAAAUAAAAGGUUUUGAGGGUUUUUGGGAGUAAAAUUUUGAGAAAAAGUAAAUGGGAGAGUAAAAUUUUGGUGGGAAAUGGAUUUUGGGUAGAUUGGGGGGUUGGGAGGGGAAGGGAGUAAAAGUUUUGGGGGAAAAGUGGGAAGGAGUAAAAGUUUUGAGGGAAAAGUAAAAAGGUUUGGGAGUUUAGGGUAAAAAUGUAAAAUAUUAUAGUUUGAUAUUCGAAUUAUUCGAAUUAUUCGAGUUAUUCGAAUUCAAAAAUUC